rnacentral:lncRNA from 1 species
CACACACACUCACUAGAAGUUUGUAUGGGUGGACAGGAACGUUUGUGGUCAGCACCAUAAUGUUCAGGGAGCCAGGAGACAGCCUGGCUGAGAUACUGACUACCUAGCUUGACUCCUGACCCUGCCACGUGCUAGUCAUGUGACCUCAGGCCAGCGAUUCCACUUCUCCAGGCCUCAGUCCAUUUCUUUAUAGAGAUGUGUUUCUGUCUCUCUUUUGGGGGUAUUGAGCACCUAGAUGAUGCUAUCUCUUUUCGAAACUCUUGUUCCCUCCUUGUGACUGUUUCUCAAGGUCUUUCUUCAUGGCUGUGACUUGGUUUCGCUCUCUCCGUGGCCUUGAUUUUGUCGCCUGUGUCUUGUAACUCAUUGUGCAUGUAGAAAAUCCAAGUGUCUACUAAGCAACUGUUAGGAUUAAUAAGUGAACUUAAAUUUAGAAAGAUCGCUGGAUAUAAAGGCAAUAUGGAAAAAAUUAGUUUUAUUUAUUUAU